ensembl:lncRNA
GCAAAGCGUUGUUCCUAUUGCAGGGUGACAGAGGGAACCCAGGACCUCCCGGCUUGCCGGGAUCAAGGGGGGCAAGAGGACCAGCGGGCCCUAUGGGACAUCCAGGAGAGCCCGGGUUAGCUGGUGCUCCAGGCCAUCCUGGGAGACCGGGCUUGAAGGGCAAUCCUGGCGUGGGAGUAAAGGGGCAAAUGGGAGACCCGGUAAGAAUCCCCUUUUGCCUG